rnacentral:rRNA from 1 species
UACGGAGGGUGCAAGCGUUGUCCGGAAUCACUGGGCGUAAAGGGCGCGUAGGCGGCUCAUGAAGGCUGUGGUGAAAGUCCGGGGCUCAACCUCGGAUCGGCCGUGGCGACUCGUGGGCUGGAGCACUGUAGAGGCGGGUGGAAUUCCGGGUGUAGCGGUGGAAUGCGUAGAGAUCCGGAAGAACACCAGUGGCGAAGGCGGCUAACUGGCCCGGUACUGACGCUGAGAUACGAAAGCGUGGGGAGCAAACAGG